rnacentral:tRNA from 1 species
GCGGGGAUAGCCAAGCCCGGUCAACGGCGUGGGAUUUAGGGUCCCAUCGUGCAGACGUUCGGGGGUUCGAAUCCCUCUCCCCGCA